AAACCUUUCAACAACGGAUCUCUUGGUUCCGGCAUCGAUGAAGAACGCAGCGAAAUGCGAUAAUUAAUGUGAAUUGCAGAAUUCAGUGAAUCAUCGAGUCUUUGAACGCACAUUGCGCCCCCUGGUAUUCCGGGGGGCAUGCCUGUCCGAGCGUCAU
rnacentral:rRNA from 1 species